GAUGAACGCUGGCGGCGUGCCUAAUACAUGCAAGUCGAGCGAAUGGAUUAAGAGCUUGCUCUUAUGAAGUUAGCGGCGGACGGGUGAGUAACACGUGGGUAACCUGCCCAUAAGACUGGGAUAACUCCGGGAAACCGGGGCUAAUACUGGAUAACAUUUUGAACCGCAUGGUUCGAAAUUGAAAGGCGGCUUCGGCUGUCACUUAUGCAUGGACCCGCGUCGCAUUAGCUAGUUGGGGAGGUAACGGCCCACCAAGGCAACGAUGCGUAGCCGACCUGAGAGGGUGAUCGGCCACACUGGGACUGAGACACGGCCCAGACUCCUACGGGAGGCAGCAGUAGGGAAUCUUCCGCAAUGGACGAAAGUCUGACGGAGCAACGCCGCGUGAGUGAUGAAGGCUUUCGGGUCGUAAAACUCUGUUGUUAGGGAAGAACAAGUGCUAGUUGAAUAAGCUGGCACCUUGACGGUACCUAACCAGAAAGCCACGGCUAACUACGUGCCAGCCGCCGCGGUAA
rnacentral:rRNA from 1 species